UACAAAGGAAAAAACAUUGACUGGGUGUGUCUAAGGAGACGAGAUCAUCGGAUUCGUGGAGAGAUGCCUUCGUUCGGAAAAUGAGGGAAAUGGACGUUCCUGUUAAUUGGUUAAUUUCUAUGUUGGUGGUUGAAAAAGGAUGCUAACAGCCCUUGAGAGAGAGUUGCUAGCGGGAAACGUC